GUUCUUGUAGCUUAUUUAAAGCAUGGCACUGAAGAUGCCAAGAUAGAUACUCACUAUAUCUCAACAACA
rnacentral:tRNA from 1 species